CUUGCUUUCUUUGCUGGCGACCGGCGCACGGGUGAGUAACGCGUAUCCAACCUACCCUUUACUCGGGGAUAGCCUUUCGAAAGAAAGAUUAAUACCCGAUAGCAUAAUGAUUCCGCAUGGUUUCAUUAUUAAAGGAUUCCGGUAAAGGAUGGGGAUGCGUUCCAUUAGGUUGUUGGUGAGGUAACGGCUCACCAAGCCUUCGAUGGAUAGGGGUUCUGAGAGGAAGGUCCCCCACAUUGGAACUGAGACACGGUCCAAACUCCUACGGGAGGCAGCAUG
rnacentral:rRNA from 1 species